UACAGAGGGGGCAAGCGUUAUUCGGAAUUAUUGGGCGUAAAGGGCGCGUAGGCGGCUUUGCAAGUGGCGGGUGAAAUCCCUCGGCUUAACCGAGGAACUGCCUGUCAAACUGCAUGGCUUGAGACCGGGAGAGGUGAGUGGAAUUCCGACGUGUAGCGGUGAAAUGCGUAGAGAUGUGGAGGAACACCAGUGGCGAAGGCGACUCUUUGGUCUGCAACUGACGCUGAGGCGCGAAAGCGUGGGGAGCAAACAGG
rnacentral:rRNA from 1 species